GGAUAAAGACUCAAGGCCUUUGCUCAGGCAACAGUCCUCAACAGUGUGUUCAAAGAGGCCUGAAGAAAAGUGACUAUCCUUGGCUGCCUGCAAAGCUGAGUUCCUGCCGACUGCCUCCACGGGCACAGUGAGAGCUCCUUCCACCUUCCUGAGUCUUGCUUUUGUUCCAUCUCCUUGUCUGCACCCUCAUGCUGUAGAUACAGAUAUUCAGAGAGUUUCUAUAACUCACGCAAACCACAGAACUGCUGAGUAGCAGAAUUUGAAUACCAACCCAGGCCUCCUGAUUCUAACACCUGCUCCAUCAGCCUUCAAGGAACAUUUGUCUCUGGAAGCAUCAGACACAGAAACUUUCACCAACAAGCAGCUGUAAUUUCCACUCAUCAAGGGCAGAGGCAGCAGAACCUUCGGAAUCCCUCAAUCCAGUUUUAAGAAUAAUCUACCACGUCUGAACACCGUUUGCUCUAAAAUCCUUGCUACUCAGGGAUGGUCCAUGAACCAGCAACAUGGGCAUCACUGGGAGCUUGUUGGGAAUGCAAGAUCUCAGGCCUCAAGGAAGACUUCUGGAUCAGAAAUGCAGGGAGGAAAUGAGGCUCAGUACACACUCAAGGACAUUCGAUAAGCCCACUCCCGACUCCUUGCGACCCCAUGGACUGUAGCCCACCAGGCUCCUCUGUCAGUGGCCAGCAGAGUUGUUUACACUUUUUCUCAUUUUCUUCCUCCUGGACACAUGUCUCUUCACUUCCUUAUCC
ensembl:lncRNA